GAGAGAGAGAGAGAGAGAGACUCAUGUGUUACAGGAACACUAUUCACCCUGCUUUUUUCAGUCAGUGUUUCACUGGCCUGAACCCCACAUAUUUGGCAAGGCUAGCUGCCAAGCAAGGUCCAGAGAUCCCCCUAUCUCUGCUUGCCCAGCAGUGGGAUCAUAGGCAUGUGCCCAGCAUUUUACUUGGGGACUAGGGAUUCGAACUCAGGUUCUCAGGCUUGUACAAGCACUUACAAACUGGGCCAUCUCCUUGGCCCCUGUAUUACAUAUUUCCUGAGUGUGCAUUAAAGCUACUUUGCUAUGUGCAAGAGCCUAUGACUUCCAAAGGAGAGAAGAGAGGGGUGUGCAGAACUGCAUCUUCCUUCCUACCGUGCUGGGCUGCGGCCUGAUCUAACCCUUACCACACACCUCCAAACAGAGCUCCCUGUCUUCCUUCGGCAGGUAAGGAGAUCAAGCUUAAAGAGGGUGAGUGACUUACAUGCAUCAAGGAGGACCACAUGCAACUGAAGACCCAGAUUUGUUCCUCACACUCCAUCUCCCACCUGCUUCCCUGGCAAAUUUUGUUUUGUGGGAUGAUACACCUGGUAGACCGAAAUACAGCAUGCGCAUGGGGAGGGCGCUUUUUCAAUCUCCAAUAACUGUGCUUACCGUUAAUGAUUUGGCAACUGUCCUCAGCUCCCACCUAUGGGAACAGGAAACCCCUGCAAGAACAUUGUGCAGAGCAAGUCACAGAUGCCAUCCCUUGCCCUCCAUGCUGCAGACAAAAGAUCUUUUCAUUGUGCCCAAACGGAUACAGUCAGCAGAGCUGCAUAAACUCAUGGGACCAUUUACUUUCAAAAAAAAAAAAAGAGCCAGUCUAAACUUUGGGAUCCACAGUUGAAAUCAACCCAUCUGGUGCAGGACCAGUCAUGAAAGACCCUUUGAGAAAAGAGAGGUCUUCAGAACUCAGAGUAGGGUCAAACUGCUUCCUUCAUGUUCCAGUCUCCCCCAAAAGUAUAAAAAAUGAGGGGAGGGGCGUGGGGUGGGGGUAUCAUGAAAUGGCUUCUUAAGAAUGCUUUUUUUUACUUAAUGGUAAGAGGACAAUUCCGGAAUGUCCCCACCAUUGGAUAGGCAGGAGCCCUUUGUUGGAAGCUCGGGGAAGCUACUUUGGUUGCCAUGCAGACGGAAUCUGUAGGAAGGCUGCUGCGGAGUUCCUUGAAGCCAGAGGCCCUUACAGCUAGCAAACAGCGUGAGCAUUGGCCCAGCUUUCCCGAAGCUGGGGCUGCUCAUUAGAGCCAUCAGUUAACCCCUGCCCCUGCCGGUUGCCUCCUUAUUGUAAUUAAUUUUAUGGCCCCUUUAAAAAGAAAGAGAGAGAAAAGAAAAGGGAGACCUCGACAUUUUAUGCUACAUUGCACAAGCAAUUGAAAGUUGCAGGGAAAGAAGAAGAAAAAAAGACCCAACCACCAAAUGUUUAGCAGGCUUUUCUUCUAUUUCAAAUGAGCAACCUAUUUAAAUCAAUUAUCAGCUCAAAAUGAGCAAGCUGAUCUAAUUAGUCUUGGCCCCUGGGGGGUUAAUGAAUGAAAGGGGGUGUGGGGGGUAGAUGUGAGCUUUCUCUGGAGUCUUUGGAAAUGACCACACUGGCACACAUCCCCUUCUAAGUGGCUAAGUCUUGGUGAAUUACAGAGGUGGUGGGGUGCGGAGAGGGGGACUUAGUUGUUCCCUGGGCAGAGUGACUAUGCCCAGCACAGUGGGUUUUUUUUUCAGCCAGUGUUUUUCCACACAGCGGUCAUUAGCGUGUGAUAAGUAGCUCAGAACUGCGAAUAAAUCAAUGUGUGUUUUCUUUAAGCAUGUUUGAGAGGGAGCAAUGUAUUGACUUCAGAAGAAAAAAAUGCUAUUGAGUGAUGACAGCUCCAGGCCCGAGUCUCUCAGCACAGAGAAAGAACCUCCUCUCCACUCUGCCCCAGUCAGGGUGUGCCCUUCAUGAAUUAAGGAUGGCCCCUGGACAUUAAUAUAGAGUUAAUCAAGGAACUAAUAUAAGGAGGCAGCCCCGGAAAGGAACAAUAAGUUGGGGCUGUGUUCAACUGAAGGUCUCAAGUUUCCCCGGAAUUUUUUUUUAAAUACAUCUUUUCAAGCAUUCCUCUGUGCAAGGAAGGAGUUAUUUGCUUUUUGGGUUCUGACAUUUCUUACCCCAAAUGUUAACUCUCUGGUAAAUGUUACAAGUAUUUAUGGUUUGGGAAUUUGAUAUCUGUUACUUUUUUGAAUUUCUCUUUUCUGGUGCAAAUGACAUGGGUUUGGAGGUGUGGUGGCCCAGCUCCAAAGCCUCCGCGGGUGACCUUGGGUGACUUUCUCACCGGUUCUGGUUCUCAUCUUCCACACGGAGUUCAUUUCGCCAGUUUAUUUCAGGAUCGUGGUGCCGUGUGUGUACCCGUGACUUUUGUUGUUGCUGGGACAAAAAACAAAACAAAACAAAACAAAAACCUGACAACAGCAACUUGAAGGGGGAAGAAUUUAUUCGGUUUACUGUUCAAGCGUGCAGUCCAUCAUGGCGGCAAGGCAUGGCGGCCGAGGCGGGAGGCAGCUGCUCACAUUUCGUCCACAGUCAGGAAGCAGAGAGCUGAAUUCUGGGCUCGGCUCAUCCUCUCCUUUUUAUUCAAUGGGGAACUGGUGAUUGCUGCUUAAGCUUGUUGGAAGUGACUCUGGGAACAAGGAAACCCUUUCUGUCUCCCCUAAAAUUCCCCGUCCUGGGGUAGGAGGGCUCCCUAACUCUGUAACAAGAAGAAAAGAAAAUAACAAACAGGUGAGAUUAUUGAAAACACCGUGUCUUUGAGACCAGCUAGAAGGUCAACCAUUUCCAACAGAAGUCAGUAGUGUUUGUGCCCGGAUAUAAAAAUGCCUGAGAGAGAAACCAAAGUUCAGGGAGCUCAGACACAGAAAGAAAGCUUUAACCGGAACUCCUGCUCACUGCCUCAACUUCCCCAGCUGUUUUCAGCUGGAAGAUUACCAUCUCACCAUGAUUUGAUGACAUUCUCUGUCUGCUGCCAUUUGUCCUUUUACUUCAAAGCCUCGCUGGAGGGAAUGCUAUGUCCUGUGUCUGCCUGAGACUCUCUCCUCGGCUGACUUUCUGAACCAGGUUUCCCUGGCUGAUUUCUGUUGGAUGUUUGUAAGCCCUUGAUUUAAUGAGAACUUUUGUUUGCUCCCCCGAUCCGGCUUCGGCAUCACCUAUGCAGGAUUUUAUGAUUCUAAAUACAAUCAAAUAGACAAUCAGCUUUAAUCACCACACCGUGUAUGAAGGCUGUCAAGGUACAUGCCCUGCCUCUCCUUCAUUCGAAAAGAUGAGCCAAAGGAUGUUUUGGUGAAGGGUGGAAGUGACCUUGAAUCUUUCAAAAGGAAUGCAACGAGAGCGUGAGUUAUUGCAGGUUGAGUUUUCUUGAACUAGCAAUGAUGCUGAAUCUCAGGAAUCAAGCUUUGGCUUCCUAUUCAGGAUGGAGAAGAGGCUGAGGAUGCAGCCCCAUCUGUUGAGAGCUUGCUUACCAUUGCACACAUUUCUGAGUUUUAUCUCCAGUACUGCACAAACAGGGUGUGGUAGUACAGGACUAUAAUCCCAACAUCUAGGCGAUGAAGGCGGGAGGGCCAGAAAUUCAAGGUUAUCCACAGUGACAAAGCCUGGGCCACAGGAGAGCCUGCCAGAACUAAUGUAUUGGGAAAACCAAGGCAGACUCCUUAACCAUUCUCUCUGAUUGUUUCUUUGGAUGUAGCCACUGAACAUUUUUGGAACAGAAAUACACACGUGUGCAUGUGUACACAUGUACACAUACAUCCAGAGAUUAUCUAUCUAUCUAUCUAUCUAUCUAUCUAUCUAUCUAUCUAUCUAUCCAUCCAUCCAUCAUCUAUCUAUCUACCUAUCAUCUAUCACUAUCAUCUAUCUAUAUGUCUGUCUGCCUGUCUGCCUGUCUGUCUAUCUGUCUAACUAUGAGAAGCUGAAAAGAGUCACUGUCAUUAGGGCUUGAGCAGGCCCAUUACAACCAAGGAGGCCUUCAAAGCUGCUUGAUCUGAGCCUGUGUAGGAAGGAGGUGAUGACCCCCCAAAACUAAACCAGGACUUAGUACUAGAUACUGAAGAACUACCUUCCCCAACCAGUUCCUCUGCCCAGCCCCUAUGUCCUGUUUUUGUGUUGUUGUUUUGUUUUGUUUUUUGUUGUUGUUGUUGUUUUUAACUUGACACAAGCUAGAGUCAUCUGGGAAGAGGAUCCUCAAUUGAGAAAAUGCCUCCAUCAGACUUCCUGUAGGCAAGUCUAUAGGGAAGUUUCUUGAUUAAUGAUUGAUGGGAGAGGGUCUAGCCCAUUGUGGACAGUGCCACUCCAGGCAGGUGGUCCUAGGGUGUAUAAGAAAGCAGGCUUAGCAAGCCAUGGGGAACAAGCCAGUAAGCAGCAGUCCUCCAUGACUUCUGCUUCUGCUCCUGCCUCCAGAUUCCUGUCUUGAAUUCCUGCCAUGAUUUCCCUCAGUGAUGGAGUGUGACCUUCGUGUUUUAAGAUGAGAUGAAUUCUCUCUUCCCCAAGUUGCUUUUGGUCAUGAUGUCAUCCUAACAAAAGAAACCCUAACUGAGACACCCACUGUACUGCCCAGCAUCAAUGGCCAAAGAGAUUUGGGAGGCAUUGGAACCUUCAAGGAACCUCCUUGAAGACCUCUUACUAAUAGAUUGGUCUAUAUAACAAGAUUUCUCAUUGCCACAGAAUAUCAAUGCCCUUGGUAUGAUACUAAAGGCAAAAGAAAGCUCAGUGUGUGUGUGUGUGUGUGUGUGUGUGUGUGUGUGUGUGUGUGUGUGUGUACACAUAUGUCCACACAUUCGGGGAGUGCAUGUGGGAGUGUGUUUGCCAAGGUGUGAGUGCAGAGGUUGAAGAAUAACCGCAGAUGCCAGUCCUUAUCUUCCACCUCAUUUGAGACAGAAUCUCUGUAUUUUUCGUAACCAUCAAAUUUUCUGACAUUUUCCUGUCUCUACCUCCUGUCUUGCAGCAGGGGUCCUGGGGACUUGAGCCUAGCUCCUCACACGUGAUGCCAAGUGCUUGUGCCCACCAAGCCAUCUCUGCAGGCUCCAGUCUUUAUCCAAUGAAAUAGCCCUAUUAGGAAAUGCUUUUCAUGGCACUUUGGUGCUCCUUUCAAUAAUUCCCCAGUCUCAAAGAGGAGAGAUACUCACCAUGUCUGCCCAGAAGGUCUCACAAGGAAUCACGAAGUGCCCUGUUGGAGAUGAAAGUGGUGAAAUUUGGGAGUUGAGAACAAUCUGUAGUCUUGCACGGACCAGGCUUGUGCUCUGUGUGACAAAGAGUAGGCGUGGGAACAUUCAGGAACAAGGGGACCCGCAAGUUCUAAUGAGUCUGUUUACCGCGGAGUGGCUACCAGAAUGAGCUUCAUGGAGAAAUUUUCCAAUCGUGCCACACCUGUCAAGCACGCUCUCAUUAUCUGCGCACCAAGGGCAAACCUCACUUUGUCAGGAGUGGUUUUCGAAGGACUAACAGAUGCCUAGGGAGCUUGCACGACUGUCGGCCGGAAGAAGAGUCACUUAAUUACCAAUCAGAGUGGCCAGGGUGAAUGCUUAAUGCUCUUGAGCUCCCGCCUCUCCAGUGUGCUUCUCCGCAUGCAUCUUAUCGCUGACCCAGAGUCUCGGUCCUUCCUGGUGCCCAGUGCUCCUCGACCCUGACCCCUUUCUCCCGGGCGCUUUGAGGUGAUGAUGGAUGAGGUGUCUCUGGAAACAGUGAUUAAUCACAUGCAUUGUACCACAAGUGAGGCCGUGUGGGACUUUGCUCCACCUGCAUGGGAGCUGAUAAUUAUUUCUUUGGGAGCGAUGGGGCCUGUAGUGGAAGGUGUCGUGUAGCGGUUUCCUCUUAGAUAAAACCUUCCAUUUUGGAGGGAAUCUUCUCUAGACACAGGAUGUCCUAAAGGGAGGUAAAGUACUCCUCCAUCCUGCAGGAAAUCUUGUUCUUGGGAAGUAAGCAACUCAAAAGCUUCAGGAAGUCCCUGAAUCUGACUAGAUUCAUUAGGUUUCCACAUCUCCAAGCAAAUAUAAGCAGUGAAGAAAGCUAAGAGAUGCUCUCAGACCAGAUCAACCUUCUGAAAGAGGCAGAGGCCUGUUGAGCUGCCUGUAAGAGGCUCAAACCAACUGAGAUGCCUGGAAAAGACACCCUUUAGCCUAUUUAGCUGUCCUGGGGCUGUGCAGUGAGCUCCAGGUUCCCAGCUUUGUCAGCUGUCACCCAUGCUGGGGUGGGCUUUGGUGAAGAGCUGUUUUUGAGUCACUUCUGUUCCUGUAAGUAACCCCUCACCCAUAUCCUGUAAGUAAUGCAAGUAAAACUCAUUGGCUCACCAAUUUGGAUUCUGGCGGUACCCUUACUUUAGUCUAUCAUUAGUUCCCUAUCGGUGUGAGCAGACGUUUGUUCUCAUCUCCCCAGGAAUAUUAUCAAACAACAGAAGGUGUUUCCAUGGUCACCUCCUAAUGAGACCCACUUGGAGCACCUAUGUGCCUUUUUCGUGUAUGCAUGGUGAAUGUUUAUGCACAUAUUUAUGUGUAUGUGCAUGUUUGGGUACAUGUGCACAUACAUGUGCAUGUGAAGCUCAGAGGUUGGCAUCAUGUGUCUUUUUCAAUUGUACUCUACAUUAUGAUUUCACUUUGUGUAUAUGUGUGUGUGUGGUGUGCAUGAUGUGGACAUAUACGUAUGUGAGGGUGCACAUGUGGGUAGUGGACAGAGGCUGACAUCAGGUAUGCUGUGGGAUGUCUUUCUGUACGCUGUGAAUAUGUGUUGCUCUCAUUGGUUGAUAAAUAAAGCUGUUUGGCCAAUGGCAAGGCAGAAUAAGGUUAGGCGGUACAUUCAAACUGAAGACAGAGAUGAAGAAGGGUGGAGUCAGGAGAGACACCAACCUACUGCCAAAGGAGCAACAAGAUGCCAGCGGACAGGUAACACCACUGUCACGUGACAGCAUAUAGAUGAAUAGGAAUGAGUUAAUUUAAGAUGAAAGAGCUAGUUAGCAAGAAGCUAAAGCUAUAGGCCAUACAGUUUGUAAUUAAUAUAACCUCUGAGUAAUUAUUUUAUAAGAAGCUGUGGGACCGCAAGUGGGAGAAAUUCAUCCAUACUGCUGGGCAAGGCAGGACCGGAGAAACUGCCAUCUGCACAGGUAUCUUCAUUGCCUUUCACCUUAUAUUUCAGCAGGGCUUUUCACUGAACCUAGGUCUGGCCAGUUUAGCUAGUCUAGUUAGCCAGCUUGCCCCAGAGAAUCCCCAUCUCUGCCUUUCCAAUGCUAGGGUUACAUGCAGGCUUUUAUAUUGGUUCUGAGUAUCUGAACAAAGCAAGCACAUUAUCCACCAAGCCAUUUCCUUAGCCCACACCACCUUACUUUUUGAGGCCGGGUCUCUUGCUGAAUCCAGAACUCACUGAGUCAGCAAAACUGGCUGGCCAGCCACCCUCAGCAGUCCUCCUAUCUUACCCUUCACAAUGUGAAGACUGCAAGUUCCCAGAUUUUGACACGGGUCCCGGGGAUGUAAGUUCAGGUCCUUAUGCUUGUGUGGCAAGCACUUUACCGACAGAGCCAUCUGCCCAGCCCCCUUGUGUCUCUUAGACAUGGCAGAUCAUUUAUGCAGGUGAUUGACAGCAAGCAAGAGCUUCCCAUCCCAGAAGGUGUGCAUGCUUCAGAGCAGCACUUCCCAAAUUUAAGGCACUGAGGAUCUUGUUCAAACCAGUUUCUGACUCAAGUGCAUCUGGAGAGACCUGAGGUCCUGCAUUCUGAAGCUAUCUCUGGUGAUAGAGCAUAAAUAUAGUAAGAAGACUGAAGCUAGCUGGGACCCAAGACCUUGGAUAAGCUGUCUAACUAUUCUGGGAUUUUGGUUCCUACCUCUACUCUAGAAGACUCUGUUCCUCUCAGUGCCUGUAGGAUGCUGCAGAAGCUCUGCCAGGAAUGUACCGCCAUCCUCUCUGCUUGGCCCGUUCUCCAUCUCCACCCGCUGGUUGCCUUGGCUACAUUGGGCUACAUCCCCAAACCAAGAACCCACCUCCUUGAACCCUAUGUUCUCUG